CUCGAAAGAGCCAACCGGUACGACGACGCAGUCAGCCCAUCGCACACUACCCGUUUCCCCGCGGCCCGCGCCACGUCCCUUGACACCGCGUCAACGGCCGGUGGGUGAGCGCCCCGAUCCGACCGUCCACCGCGCUUAUCCGCAUACGCCCAGAUGCACCCACCUCGCGCGCCAUGAUUGGGCAGCCCGUCCCAUCGCCACCCAUCCCCGUACUCCCUACGCGGACACGUCGCGCGCCCGCACGCCGCCGGAGCCCACCACGUUCCGCUCAGUGGUCAGCCGGAACAAAAUCCCUACCCCGCACCACGCCACCCACCCCCGUAUCCCGCACCCCCACUGACACGCCACGCCCCACACCCUCGCCCGCACCCGAUUCCCACGAGGCCAAUCGGCGGGCGCGGCGGCCGAGAGAUCCCGAGCAGCGACAGGAGGCACGAGGCGUGGGAUCUGGCCGUGUGCGCGAGGCAAAGGUCAGUGGGAGCGCAGGCCUACUUUAUUACCCGGCGCGCACUAAUCCAGAUUUGGGGCCGUGGGUGUGUAGGUUUCGUCGCUGUGGGGCGACGUUUUAAAACGCACCGGCCGCAGAGGCCAACACCUGUCCUCCGCUACCACCCCUCUCGCCGUCGUGGUCGCGCCCGCGGCCAACGACCGCCUUCCACCUCGCCCACCUCCGAUCUCUAUCCCUCUGUCUCUCUAUGCGCGCGCGCCAAUCGCUCCUUGUAGCAGCAGCAGCAGCAGUGGAUCUGCUCUUGCUAAAUUUGGCACUGCCACCCAUACUUAAUCCAGCCCGGCCGCGCCGUCCGACCAGCUGGUUUAAAGCAGCUCGAGCGAGCUCGCUCGCUCCCCCUCGCCCGCCCGCUGCUCCCCAUCACGAGUACCACGGCUGCUGUGUCUGGCUGGAGCUCGCACACCUGUGAGGCUCUCACUCGAGGCGCUUUCUGAUUCGGUUCGGCUGAUUGGCGGGAUCGGGCAUGGAUUUUCCGGGAGGGAACGGGACGCCGCCGCCGCAGCAGCACCAGCUGCUGCCGCCGAUGACGCCGCUGCCGCUCACGCGCCAGGGCUCCUCGGUCUACUCGCUCACGUUCGACGAGUUCCAGAGCGCGAUCGGCGGGCCGGGCAAGGACUUCGGGUCCAUGAACAUGGACGAGCUCCUCCGCAACAUCUGGACCGCCGAGGAGUCGCAGGCCAUCGGCGCCGGCCCCAACGCCGCCUCCUCCUCCGCCGCGGCGGGGCCGGAUCACGGCGGCAUCCAGCGCCAGGGCUCGCUCACGCUGCCCAGGACGCUCAGCCAGAAGACCGUCGACGAGGUCUGGCGCGACAUGAUGUUCUUCGGAGGGCCCUCCGCCUCCGCAGCCGCCGAGGCUCCCCCGCCGGCCCAGAGGCAGCAGACGCUCGGGGAGGUCACGCUCGAGGAGUUCCUCGUGCGCGCCGGCGUCGUGCGCGAGGACAUGCCGGGGCCGCCGCCGCCCGUCUCGCCGGCCCCCGUGGCCCAGGCGCCGCCUCCGCAGCCGCAGAUGCUGUUCCCUCAGAGCAACAUGUUUGCUCCCAUGGUGAAUCCUCUGUCCUUGGCCAAUGGGUUGAUGACCGGAGCAUACGGCCAGGGAGGAGGUGGUGGUGCGGCCGCUAUGGUUUCGCCGUCGCCGACGGGGAGGCCGGUUAUGUCCAACGGCUACGGCAAGAUGGAAGGCCUCAACUUGUCCUCGCUGUCGCCGCCACCGAUGCCAUAUGUUUUUAACGGUGGGCUGAGGGGGAGGAAGCCACCGGCCAUGGAGAAGGUGGUCGAGAGGAGGCAGCGCCGGAUGAUCAAGAACCGGGAGUCUGCGGCGAGGUCGCGCCAGAGGAAACAGAGUUAUAUGAUGGAAUUGGAGACUGAGGUGGCAAAACUUAAAGAGCGGAAUGAGGAGUUGCAGAGAAAACAGGCGGAGAUCCUAGAGAGGCAAAAGAACGAGGUAUUCGAGAAGGUUACCCGGCAAGCUGGACCCACGUCGAAGAGGAUCUGCCUGCGGAGGACGCUGACGGGCCCUUGGUAAGCCGAAGGCCUGUAAACUAGAGCACGCUACUUUCGACGCUGCGCGGUUUAUAUACAUACAGCAGAUGAAUUUCAGAAUCGCCAGGAGUUGCGCUUGUAGAGCAGCCACUGAUCCGAUGCUUGAGAGUUGAGGCUCCUAGGCCGACAGACUGCCGGCGAUCUUCACUCGAUAGGUUUUAGCCGUCCGCGUGCCGUUCUGUGUGAGUAGAGAGCAUUUGUAUGUAAAAAUCUAUUUAACCAUGUGUUGGUGAGAUACUGCACUAGAACCACAUUUCUAUAUAUUUUUCUGUUUCGAGAGGCUCAUUACAACCAUGUUAGAAAUGAGUUUGUAUUCUUCAUAAAACGAUGCCCAGUCGGCUUGUAAAGCGGAACUAUUUGUGCAUCCGUAGAUGAUUUCCCUUUUUGUGAGAGUGAACUGAACUGAACUACUUUGCAGAGUAAAGAAGAUGUGUUGUCUGAUGGGCUAAUCAGACAUAGCAAAGCUUCUUGUAUCUGGUAAGCACAAACCGAACUAGUUUGAUUCUCUGUAGGCUGUGUUUCUGGCUCCAUUGCCAGUACCAUGUCAAUGGAGCCAUGUAUGUAAGCUUUGUACUGUAUACAUAAACCAUGGCGCUUGGUCAUGUGGAACCAGAACCAAAACGUCUGUAUGUAUAUUACGAGAACUUCCGG
rnacentral:rRNA from 1 species